rnacentral:rRNA from 1 species
GUGAGGAAUAUUGGACAAUGGGCGCAAGCCUGAUCCAGCCAUGCCGCGUGCAGGAAGAAGCAUCUAUGGUGUGUAAACUGCUUUUGUACGGGAAGAAACACUCCUUCGUGAAGGAGCUUGACGGUACCGUAAGAAUAAGGAUCGGCUAACUCCGUGCCAGCAGCCGCGGUAAUACGGAGGAUCCAAGCGUUAUCCGGAAUCAUUGGGUUUAAAGGGUCCGUAGGCGGUUUGGUAAGUCAGUGGUGAAAGCCCGCAGCUCAACUGUGGAACGGCCAUUGAUACUGCCAGACUUGAAUUACAAGGAAGUAACUAGAAUAUGUAGUGUAGCGGUGAAAUGCUUAGAUAUUACAUGGAAUACCAAUUGCGAAGGCAGGUUACUACUUGUGGAUUGACGCUGAUGGACGAAAGCGUGGGGAGCGAACAGGAUUAGAAACCCCAGUAGUCC